rnacentral:rRNA from 1 species
GACGAACGCUGGCGGCGUGCUUAACACAUGCAAGUCGAACGGAAAGGCCCUGCUUUUGUGGGGUGCUCGAGUGGCGAACGGGUGAGUAACACGUGAGUAACCUGCCCUUGACUUUGGGAUAACUUCAGGAAACUGGGGCUAAUACCGGAUAGGAGCUCCUGCUGCAUGGUGGGGGUUGGAAAGUUUCGGCGGUUGGGGAUGGACUCGCGGCUUAUCAGCUUGUUGGUGGGGUAGUGGCUUACCAAGGCUUUGACGGGUAGCCGGCCUGAGAGGGUGACCGGCCACGUUGGGGCUGGGAGGCGGCAGUGGCGACUACGGGAGGAUGGGGGGGGGAAUAAUGCAGAAAGGGCGAGGGUUGGAGGAAGACCGCCGGGUGGGGAAGGGCGGCUUUGGGGUAAGAAACGCCUUUGGCUGGUACCGAGGUGUUGGGAAGGGAAAGGGGAAAAAAGCACCGGGUAACUUAGUG